CCUACGGGAGACAGCAGUGAGGAAUAUUGGUCAAUGGGCGGGAGCCUGAACCAGCCAAGCCGCGUGAGGGAAGACGGUACAGCGUAUCGUAAACCUCUUUUGUCAGGGAACAAAGGCGGGCACUAGUGCCCUUAUGAGAGUACCUGAAGAAAAAGCAUCGGCUAACUCCGUGCCAGCAGCCGCGGUAAUACGGAGGAUGCGAGCGUUAUCCGGAUUUAUUGGGUUUAAAGGGUGCGCAGGCGGCCUGUUAAGUCAGCGGUAAAAGCGCGGGGCUCAACCCCGGCGAGCCGUUGAAACUGGGGGUCUGGAGUUGGAGAGAAGUACGCGGAAUGCGCGGUGUAGCGGUGAAAUGCUUAGAUAUCGCGCAGAACCCCGAUUGCGAAGGCAGCGUACCGGCUCUACACUGACGCUGAGGCACGAAAGUGUGGGUAUCGAACAGGAUUAGAUACCCCAGUAGUC
rnacentral:rRNA from 1 species